rnacentral:piRNA from 1 species
UUUGACUGUGUGCAAGGGCUGGGCUAA